UCAGUGGCGCAGUGGUUAGCGCGGCCGCCUCACAAGCGUAUGGACCUGAGUUCAAAUUCUGGUCUGAA
rnacentral:tRNA from 1 species